rnacentral:rRNA from 1 species
CCUACGGGAGGCAGCAGUCGAGAAUCAUUCACAAUGGGGGAAACCCUGAUGGUGCGACGCCGCGUGGGGGAAUGAAGGUCUUCGGAUUGUAAACCCCUGUCAUGUGGGAGCAAAUCAAAAAGAUAGUACCACAAGAGGAAGAGACGGCUAACUCUGUGCCAGCAGCCGCGGUAAAACAGAGGUCUCAAGUGCGGUUCGGAAUCACUGGGGGUAAAGCGUGUGUAGGUUGUUUGGUCAGGCGCGUGUGAAAGAGGCGGGCUCAAACCGCGGACGGCACAUGAAACUGGGAGACUAGAGUAUGGGAGAGGGAAGCGGAAUGCGCGGUGUAGCAGUGAAAUGCGUAGAUAUCGAGAGGAACACUCGUGGCGAAGGCGGGUUCCUGGACAUUAACUGACGCUGAGGCACGAAGGCCAGGGGAGCGAAAGGGAUUAGAUACCCUUGUAGUC